rnacentral:rRNA from 1 species
UACGAAGGGGGCUAGCGUUGCUCGGAAUCAUUGGGCGUAAAGCGCGCGUAGGUGGCUUCGUAAGUCCGUUGUGAAAGUCAAAGGCUCAACCUUUGAAUGCCGAUGGAUACUGCGGAGCUAGAGUACGGAAGAGGCGAGUGGAAUUCCUGGUGUAGCGGUGGAAUGCGCAGAUAUCAGGAGGAACACCAAUAGCGAAGGCAGCUCGCUGGGACGUUACUGACACUAAGGCGCGAAAGCGUGGGGAGCGAACAGG